AAAGGAGAAGUUAAAUCAAUAAUAUUUUACUUACACUAAGAAGGUCCUGCGGAGGCUCCUUUU
rnacentral:tRNA from 1 species